rnacentral:rRNA from 1 species
GAUGAACGCUAGCUACAGGCUUAACACAUGCAAGUCGAGGGGUAACGAGAGGAAAGCUUGCUUUCCUUGUCGACGACCGGCGCACGGGUGAGUAACGCGUAUCCAACCUGCCCCCAACUAGGGAAUAACCUUGCGAAAGUAAGACUAAUACCCUAUAAUUUCCUCAGAUGUCAUCUGACGAGGAAUAAAGAUUUAUCGGUUGUGGAUGGGGAUGCGUCUGAUUAGCUUGUUGGCGGGGUAACGGCCCACCAAGGCAACGAUCAGUAGGGGUGCUGAGAGGAAGGGCCCCCACAUUGGAACUGAGACACGGUCCAAACGCCUACGGGAGGCAGCAGUGAGGAAUAUUGGUCAAUGGGCGGAAGCCUGAACCAGCCAAGUAGCGUGCAGGAUGACGGCCCUAUGGGUUGUAAACUGCUUUUAUACAGGAAUAAAGUUAGCCACGUGUGGUUAUUUGUAGGUACUGUAUGAAUAAGGACCGGCUAAUUCCGUGCCAGCCGCCGCCGUAA